rnacentral:rRNA from 1 species
UACAGAGGCCCCAAGCGUUGUUCGGAUUCACUGGGCGUAAAGGGUGCGUAGGCGGUCGGGUAAGUCUGUCGUGAAAUCUCCGAGCCCAACUCGGAAACUGCGUCGGAUACUAUUCGGCUAGAGGAAUGGAGGGGAGACUGGAAUUCUCGGUGUAGCAGUGAAAUGCGUAGAUAUCGAGAGGAACACCAGUGGCGAAGGCGAGUCUCUGGACAUUUCCUGACGCUGAGGCACGAAAGCCAGGGGAGCAAACGGG